AUACUUGUCUGUGAGCACAGAGUGGGGAAGUGGCUGAAGGCAGAACAAGAACACAGGGGUCCACUUUCUAAGGCCUCGUGGCCUUUAUAGCUCUACAAACCCCAAGUGUCCCUAACUCUUCUCUCUCAAGGGAUACAGACUCUGAUAUAACUGGAUUCUAUGCUCCAAACUCAAAGGGAAUGCAGUAGAAGCUGAAAAACGAAUUUUUUGAUGUAUUUUUCUAGAACACUAUUGUCUAAUUUUCAUGGCAGCCUAGCAUGGUGCAAGGUUGUCUUGGUUUAAGUUCCAGGAAAAAAUACCCAGCAAGAAGAAUCUGAGUACAAGAAAUUUUGGGGAGAGAUGGUCCCAGGAAGCAAAGGAGGGGAAGAGAGGAAGCAAGACAAGGAAGGGGAAAAAUAAGCCUCAGAGUCAUCCCAACCAAGAGGCAAGGGAGAUGGGGAUGGUACAAAACAGAAGAGGGAACGGAAAAAGACAGUCUCAUUCAGCAGCAUGCCAACAGAGAAGAAGAUCAGCAGUGCAAGUGAUUGUAUUAAUUCAAUGGUUGAGGGUUCAGAACUCAAAAAGGUUCGCUCCAACUCUAGAAUUUAUCAUAGGUACUUUUUACUGGAUGCUGACAUGCAGAGCCUAAGGUGGGAGCCAUCUAAGAAGGAUUCUGAGAAAGCCAAGAUUGACAUUAAAUCCAUCAAGGAAGUGAGAACAGGAAAAAACACAGACAUAUUCCGCAGCAAUGGCAUUUCUGACCAGAUAUCUGAAGAUUGUGCGUUUUCCGUCAUAUAUGGAGAGAAUUAUGAGUCACUGGAUUUGGUUGCCAACUCCGCAGAUGUUGCAAACAUCUGGGUUACAGGACUGCGAAAACCACUGUUCCAUUAAACAACAGAAGGUAAUGGUUCAGCACAUGAAGAAACUUUUAGGAGACAAGCUCUAUACAACAUCACCCAAUGUUGAGGAAUCUUAUCUACCAUCCCCAGAUGUCCUGAAAGGGAAAAUACUAAUUAAAGCAAAGAAGCUGUCCUCAAAUUGCUCUGGGGUAG
rnacentral:misc_RNA from 1 species